rnacentral:rRNA from 1 species
GUGGGGAAUCUUCCGCAAUGGACGAAAGUCUGACGGAGCAACGCCGCGUGAAGGAUGAAGGUCUUCGGAUUGUAAACUUCUUUUAUGAGUGAAGAAUAUGACGGUAACUCAUGAAUAAGCACCGGCUAACUACGUGCCAGCAGCCGCGGUCAUACGUAGGGUGCAAGCAUUAUCCGGAGUGACUGGGCGUAAAGAGUUGCGUAGGCGGUUAUGUAAGCGAAUAGUGAAACCUGGUGGCUCAACCACACAGACUAUUAUUCGAACUACAUAACUCGAGAAUGGUAGAGGUAACUGGAAUUUCUUGUGUAGGAGUGAAAUCCGUAGAUAUAAGAAGGAACACCAAUGGCGUAGGCAGGUUACUGGGCCAUUUCUGACGCUAAGGCACGAAAGCGUGGGGAGCGAACCGGAUUAGAUACCCUAGUAGUCC